rnacentral:rRNA from 1 species
UUGGCGGUAUCUUAUCCUUAUAGGGGAACUUGACCAGUGAUCGAUAGUCCCCGUUUUAUCUUACUUUUAUUAAUGUUUGUAUACCGUUGUUGUUAGAUUACCUUGCAUAGUUAGUGAGUUUUCUUAAUAGAUACAGCUAAGCUGUAUCUUUUACUUCAAAUCAAGGUGCAGUUUAUGUAGAAGUUGAGUUGAGUUACUUUGUUUAAGAAACUGGAGGGUAAUAUGAAAUUUUACUUGAAAUAGGAUUUAUUAGUAAGUUAGUAGUAAUUAGAUUAGCUGUAAAGGGGUCUGAGAUAUGUACAAAUCGCCCGUCACUCUGGCUUUAACUAUCUAGAUAAGUCGUAACAAAGUAGAUGUAAGGGAACUUGCAUCUAGAUGA